AGAUUAUCUCUGAUCCUGGCCUGCUUGCCUCAUGUAAAUGCCCUAAGUGAAGUGCCAGACAAGUGAAUGGAUGAGUCCACCUCCACUUAUAAAAUCUAAACUAACUCAGAGCCCCUAUGGCUCACUGGAUGGACAUCAACACAGCAGAACCAUGCACGAAGGAAAUUGAACCACUGUCUCUGAAUUCUUUCUCCUGGGACUCACGGUGAGGUCUAAAGAGCAGCAGUUUAUCUUCAUGCUGUUUCUAUGCACGUAUCUGGUCACUAUAAGCUGAAGGUCCAAAAGAACAUUACCUAUAUUGCAAGUCAUCUGGAAGUUUACCUCAAGAGGGACAGGGAUUUAAAACGCUGUCCAAAAGAAGGAAAGAAAAUAACUUGAAAAAAAAUACAGAUGUGGAAAAAACUAAAAGAAUAUGAGGAAUCAAAUGAAAAUUUCAGUUCAAAGUAAUAUACUUAUGUGUUAAACAUUUUUAAAAAUAAGAAA